AUCGGCCUUGCCUGAGCGCGACCCUUAUUUGGCAAUGCAGGCCAUUCCUCUGCCCCAGAGCUGAAAAAUGGUUUUACUCUUUUUGGAAGUCAGAGCUUUCAUAUCUCUUCGUCUACGGGCUUUUCUGUCCUAUAAAGCAGCAAGCAAGCCGUAUCUGCUGUUAUUCRGUGCACAUGGCAUAUGAUCCACCAGAUGGGAGCAGAUUUGCUAAGGCAACCUUAGCGAGCAAUGAUCUGAGCUUACAACUCGGGUAUGCCUUGGACUGACUCCUGCAAACUCCUGCUCAUGAAAGAAAUCUCAG
rnacentral:lncRNA from 1 species